GGCUUGCCAUACUAGCAUUUCCUCUCUGCCACCAGGACUGGCAGUUUUCCAACUGCUGUGUUCCUGAGUGAAGCUGACAUGGGGCAGAGCUUCAGCUGGCCCAAAGUGGACAUGUGAUGUGGAUCAGAAAUAACUCUGUUUUUAUCUGCCACUCCUGGGUUGUUGCUGCAGCAUAAGCUACCAGUCCUAAUACAAGGCAUAUUUGUUACUGCGCAUCUAAGCCACACUCUCCAGCAGUCAUAUCAGAGAUGGAUGGACAUCUCCACCUGCCUCACUUUUUUUCCCUUUCCUCAAACUCUGAUGGGAUAGAAGCUCUUAUUUCACCUCCCUUACACUCUGAUAAUGUCCAGUUUGCAGAUCUCCAGGUGAUAACGAAUCCUGCACCUCAGUCUACAAAAAGGAAGUUUGCAAGCAUUGGUAGAAAAUGUAUUGACCCCCAGAUGGCCGUGGAGGUAGCCAGGUGGCCAAGAAUUUCAGUUAGAGGAAAUUCCAUUUGCUUCCUAUCCAAGAUGACCGUGCAUUUUCCAGGGAGAAGAUAAAAAACUUAGAGACCUGAUGAGCUCUGGCAAGGAAGGGGACCAGGAGCAAGCACACCAUUCUGUGCAGGUGGAAGGGCCUGCCACUCCUGCAAAAGGAACUUUCCGUCAAUUACAAACAAUCCCACACAGUUUCCCUUGGAUUGUCACAACGAUUUUCAACCUAAUGAAAGUUCGGCCCAAUGCCACUGUCUGAUUGUUCAAUCACUAUCUGAUUGCCAGUUAGACUUUCCAUCCUUCAAAUUCCACCACAAGACAAAGAAGAGAUAAUGUCCCAGAGAAGUGUGGGAGGAGAGGGGGAAAAAAGGCAGAGGAAGGAAACAGGCAUUGCCCACGCCUGAACUUUGUCGCCCCUGGAUCAGUCUCCGGAGAUGGAAGUCAGCAUCCUGAAGGGACUGUGUUGGGUGGCCUGCUCCCUGAUAGAGCAGCUGGGAUCCAGGCUGCGUUUCCGCUGUUUUCAUUCCGGUGGUACCUUGUCUCCCAAGCUUGCCCCUGUGACCAGGGGACUAGGUGUUUGUACCCUUGUGAGUCCUCUUUCACCCCUCCCUGGAACCUGAAUUGGACCUGUGACUCGCUUCUAUCAAUAAGACGUGACGGGAAUGACACUGCAAAUUUCUGGCUUUAAGAAACCUUGGCAGCUUUCACUUGUGUGCUCUUACCAUGUAAGAAGCCCAGUUACCCUGCUGCAGAGGGUCCACCUGGAGAGGCCCUGGAGGAUUUCUUCUCAUGGAAGAAGAACCCACAAGAAGGUCAACAAGGUGCCAGAUGUGUGAGUGAGAAAGCCAUCCCAGCCCAGCUGAGUCUCCACAGAACUCCAGCUCCACUUGCCGUCUGAUGGCCACUUCGUGAGCAAUCCCCAAGCCAGACCAGCAGAAGAACCAUCAGGCUGAGUCCAGUUAGCUCAUAGAAUCAUGGUAACAAUUACUGAUUUUAAGCCAUUGUGUCUGGAGUUCUUUGUUACACAGCCUUAGAUAACUGAAGAACUACCUGUAUUACUUUGGCACUUUCUGCAUGGAUGGUGUUGCUGUCCUAGAAGGCAUGGAGUCUGGUUGCAUUGGGAACCAGGCUUCCUGCUCUGCCAGCUCAAAGGAAGAGAAUGAAGGUGGUACCUGUGAGACAGAGAAUGGGCUGUCUCAUUUGCUUAGUUUAGUUAACUUUGUUUUUUUUUUAAGUCUCACUAUCCUGGAAGAUCAGGAAAAUUGAUUUUGAAGAGCUUGGAAUUAUAAUCUAAUCUCUUUCCAACACUAUUCAUUAUGUUGGAUAGGAGACCUUAAGUCUAGAUCUUGCUCUAGUGCCAACUAGUUGUGUGACCUUGUGCAAAUCAGUUGACUCAUUUGAAAGAGGUGAUGGUUGUACUAUUAGGGAAGCAAAUAAGAAGCCACCACUUUUCCUUUCUUUGUCUAUGGCAGACAUCAGGAAUCCACUGUGGCUUUACUGAGCCUAGGCUUGGCCUCAGAAUCCUUCUCAACACAGACAGCUGCAGCCUUCUGAUCAGAAUUAACUCAUCAGAUGAACCCUGUUUGCUAAUCUCUGAUUAAAUGGUAAGUCCUCUUCUACUGCAGUUGGGUAAAUGUUAGGUGACUUAAGAAUAAAUUAAUAAAAUAGUUAAUUACA
rnacentral:lncRNA from 1 species